rnacentral:tRNA from 1 species
GCCCUCGUAGCUCAGUGGACAGAGCGGCUGCCUUCUAAGCAGCGGGUCGCAGGUUCGAAUCCUGCCGAGGGCA